CGCAAUCACAGGUAGAUUUAAACGACCGUCUGAACGUUCAAUUACCCAAUUCUUUCGUCGUCAUGUAUCGCGACCGAAACGUAGGCUAUCAUAAUGCGUAUGUCUCGCGCCCCGUAAGCCGCGAGUACGCGGUCAAAGUCAUUAAUAACGCCGAGAUGAAGACAGAUACGCGGUCAAACGAGGAUACGCACCCUCCGCGACGUCACGGUCUCAUAAAGCGAAGUGUCACUGGCUGUUUGCAUCGCAACACUCUUUGUCCGGACCACUGCGACACUGCGUAAAAGUCGAGUCGGAGACCGCGUCGCGUGCUAGAACGCCCGUCUCUGAGCAAGACGUCACCCUUUCAAUCAGACUGACCUCUGACCUCGGCUGAGAACUGGGCGGAAUGUCUGGUUAUGAAAAGCUGCAGUUGUUGGUCCAGGUUACAUUCUGACACACUGAUGUCCCAGGAACGGAUACCUGCAGCUCCAGGACUUUGGCCAGGUAUCUCAGGAGCUCGGCGUUGGCCUCUCCGUCGGUCGGCGGGGCAGCGAUGGCGACCCCCACCGCCUCCUCAGACACAUCUGUCACAAAACAGCGCGCAUGGUGCAUGG